AGAACGAACGCUGGCGGCAGGCCUAACACAUGCAAGUCGAACGAGAUCUUCGGAUCCUAGGUGGCGGACGGGUGAGUAACGCGUGGGAACGUGCCCUUCUCUACGGAAUAGUCCUGGGAAACUGGGUUUAAUACCGGUAUACGCCUUCGGGGAAAGAAUUUCGGGAGGAUCGGCCCGCGUUGGAUUAGGUAGUUAGGUGGGGGUAAUGGGCCUACCAAGCCGACGAUCCAUAGCUGGUUUGAGAGGAUGAUCAGCCACACUGGGACUGAGACACGGCCCAGACUCCUACGGGAGGCAGCAGUGGGGAAUCUUAGACAA
rnacentral:rRNA from 1 species